rnacentral:rRNA from 1 species
AAUGAACGUUGGCGGCAUGGAUUAGGCAUGCAAGUCGAGCGCGAAACGUAGCAAUACGUGGAGAGCGGCGAAAGGGAGAGGAAUAUGUGGGAACCUACCUUCGGGCCUGGAAUAGCGGCGGGAAACUGCCGGUAAUGCCAGAUAACGUCCCCGGACCAAAGGUGUGAUUCCGCCUGGAGAUGGGCCCACAUCCUAUCAGCUUGUUGGUGUGGUAACGGCGCACCAAGGCUAAGACGGGUAUGGGGUGUGAGAGCAUGCCCCCACUCACUGGGACUGAGACCCUGCCCAGCCACCUACGGGUGGCUGCAGUCGAGAAUCUUCGGCAAUGAGCGCAAGCUUGACCGAGCGAUGCCGCGUGCGGGAUGAAGGCCCUCGGGUUGUAAACCGCUGUCGUAGGGGAAUAACGGUCGGUGGGUUCUCCCAUCGAUUUGCAUGAUCCUAGGAGGAAGGACGGGCUAAGUUCGUG